GCCGGGCGUGGUGGUGCACACCUGUAAUCCCAGCUACUUGGGAGGCUGAGGCAGGAGAAUCGCUUGAACCUGGGAGGCGGAGGUUGUAGUGAGCCAAGAUCACACCACUGCACUCCAGCCUGGGCAACAGAGUGAGACCCUGUCUCAA
rnacentral:SRP_RNA from 2 species